AUCCGUGGUAGUUAUGGCCAUG
rnacentral:miRNA from 1 species